rnacentral:rRNA from 1 species
AAANNUAAGNCCUGCAUGUCUAAGUAUAAGCAAUUAUACAGCGAAACUGCGAAUGGCUCAUUAAAUCAGUUAUCGUUUAUUUGAUAGUACCUUACUACAUGGAUAACCGUGGUAAUUCUAGAGCUAAUACAUGCUAAAAAUCCCGACUUCGGAAGGGAUGUAUUUAUUAGAUUAAAAACCAAUGCCCUUCGGGGCUCUCUGGUGAUUCAUAAUAACUUCUCGAAUCGCACGGCCUUGCGCCAGCGAUGGUUCAUUCAAAUUUCUGCCCUAUCAACUUUCGACGGCUGGGUAUUGGCCAGCCGUGAUGACAACGGGUAACGGAGGGUUAGGGCUCGACCCCGGAGAAGGAGCCUGAGAAACGGCUACUACAUCCAAGGAAGGCAGCAGGCGCGCAAAUUACCCAAUCCCGAUACGGGGAGGUAGUGACAAUAAAUACUGAUACGGGGCUCUUUCGGGUCUCGUAAUUGGAAUGAGAACAAUUUAAACCCCUUAACGAGGAACAAUUGGGGGGCAAGUCUGGUGCCAGCAGCCGCGGUAAUUCCAGCUCCAAUAGCGUAUAUUAAAGUUGUUGCAGUUAAAAAGCUCGUAGUUGAACUUUGAGUCUGGCUGGCCGGUCCGCCUCACCGCGAGUACUGGUCCGGCUGGACCUUUCCUUCUGGGGAACCUCAUGGCCUUCACUGGCUGUGGGGGGAACCAGGACUUUUACUGUGAAAAAUUAGAGUGUUCAAAGCAGGCCUUUGCUCGAUACAUUAGCAUGGAAUAUAAAUAGGACGUGCGGUUCUAUUUUGUUGGUUUCUAGGACCGCC